CCCAAGUCAACCGGCGUCGUUAAAUCCGACAGUCAACUGACGAUGACGAAGAAGCCUUACAGUGGGGGCUUCGAAACCAACAUCAUCUUCAACAACAGUUGCGGGCAGGUACGCAUAGAUCCAAGGUAAAAGUACCUACUUUUCCCAGGAUUAGGUGUUGUCUCAAUGGUACUGGAACUUGGUAUGAAUGGGUGGAGUAGUCAUUGAUUAGGCAAUUUGACUCUCCAAGGAAAAAAUUAGUGUUUGAGAUGAUUGUUUUCGUUGUUAUUUGAAUGAAUGUGUAUGGUGCUGGUUUCCUUUCUUGUCAUGCAUUGUCUUCCCCCUUGCCAAUUAUCCCCUCCCGAAACCAAUCAAGUGCUUUGCUUAAUGCAAAGAAAAGCUCAUAAAGUUGUUGUCCCAACCACGAUUAUCAAAUCACCUCUUUAAUCCAUGUUCUUAACGAUCAUUCCCCCCUUUCUCCUGUUCUCUCUGCUUUAACUUGUAACUAGUUGAGCUUUUUCAUAAUUGCUUAUGGUUGAUGUGGAGGAAUUAAAACAGGGGUAGACACUCAUUUGCUGGACUUUGUCCCAUCAUGCUAGCUAAGUGGAUUCUUGAGUCUAAUGGAUUGAAUACUGAUGAAUAACUGAAUCAGACUCAGUUUUCCAAGGGUGGUUGACCCUCAAUAUGGUGAAUCCGGUAGUUUGGUUAUAGUUUGUUUUCUGAUCAUAGCAAAUUUAUAUCAUCACAACAUAGUAGUAGCCGAUCUCCUUGUCUUGGCAAUGCCUCCAGACAUACCCUUUUAUCCAAAGGGAAAACUAAGUUAACAAAUCCCUGUACUGUAUGCUGGUAUUUUUCAUUCUGUGAUUGCGAUUCAUUAUCUACACAUCAAACAUUAUCUCCUUGAAUCAUGCUCAUCUCUGACAUUAGUGUUUAGUCCCUUAACAGAUUGAGCUCAACUAGAAGAGGAGUUAAAUGGAAAAGAAGUGUUCUUGUGGACAAACUGAAAGGGGGGAGAAAUGGGUUCUUUGUACAAAAAGAAUUUGGUUGUCAUCAUGUUCUGCAAUUAUUAAGCCAAGAUUGGGGAAAGUGGGAUGAACUUUGUGGGUUUGUUUUUAUGGUCACAUGGCUUUGUUUAACACUAAAUGCAUGCGUGGAACUAUUCUCUGCCUUAACUUUUAAUCCUGUUAAAAAUCUUGUCAGCUUAAUCACACACAUCAUAGGUUGAAGGAGAAGAUUCGCUCUGAUUUUGCUCUAGGGACAGGUCUGUGUGUGAGGACAUUUCGUUCGAUAGCCGUAUGCUACUAGUAUUUCC
rnacentral:lncRNA from 1 species